GGGCUAAUAGUAUAGAGGUAUUAUGCUCGCUUCGCAUCUCUGUGAAUUGUGAGAGGUCCUGGGUUCAAUUCCCAGUUAGUCCA